CCAAACUUAAUUUGACCAAUCCAUGUAUAAAUAAGAACUGUUCAAAGUUCUUCACCAUACACAAUGUCCUGAAAUCUCUGUAAUGGUACAUGGUGCUUGAUGAAAGACUGUAUGAGAUGAAAAAAAUGAAGGUAUACGAAGCUUACCAUGAUACUUUUACUGAAAAUUGUCCAUUUAUCAUGAAUAGUCAUUCUCUUUGAGUCAGGAUCAUUAACCUUACCUACCACAGUAAGUGCAAUAAGAUAAAUCUCCAGAUAAAAGACAUCAUAGUCUAAAGUAUUCCACUAAAUAACAAAACAAUGACGUAUCUUCUUGGUCAUCUCAGAAAGCAGAUAAUCAAAGAAAGACUUGUAAUAUCUCAGAGCCUUGAAUAGCAAAGUUCACAUGUAGUUAGGCUACACAUUUAAGUCUUAAGUUUAUAGGUUUCUCUUCAACCCACUAUCGAUCUGAUCUGAAUAAACAUACAAAAAAUACUAUCACCCUCAAUUAUGCUAAAAUAGUUUACAUAAUAAAGAAAAACAAGCACAAUUGCCUCUUAUUACUGAGAAUGCUUCUGCUUCAUGGAUAUCUUUAUAUUUGCAAGUAGUUUUAUCCAGCGCAAGAAAACCUCUAGUGAUAUCCUGGAAGUUGUCUUUUUAUUUUGGAUUAUUUAUGAUUUUGUUUUGGUGCUUUUUUUCCUAUUUUUCCGUUGUUUGUUCUUUAAAAAUUCGUUCCUCCUACUUAAGAUAUUGCAAGCAAAAAAACAUUCUCAGUUUCUUUUUUCCCCCAAAUACGCAGUAAAGGUGGAAAUCAAUAAUCAAGUGUUUUAAAAGUAAUGAAUAAUAGAAUAGAUGAAACUCACAAGUCAUAACUUCUAAAACACCUUAAAAGAAAAGGAAUUAGCAAGAUUUCUAUCUCCAUUUUAACAUUAAACUUUAGAAUUUAAGACUUCUUUAGAUCUGAACAAAAACAAACAACACGAAAAAAAACGCAUUAAGUUUUUUAACAAUAAACUUACACUUAUGGAUACAUCAUGGUUAAUACACAUAUAUUAUCCAAGAAAAUAAUCAUUUGGUGCAUGCAACCAAGUAUAGUCAUUCGCAACUUCAUUCGCUUAUUCAAUACACAGCUUUACAUGUCAAACAGAAAUAGCAAUUCUUUUCCUCUUUCAUUUGGAUAUAAAGUUAGAUUUUGACAACUUCCAGUACUAUAUGAAUAACAACUCCACAAUUCUACUACAUGUCGUUACACACAACUAAACACAUAGUAAAAUUAUAUACGGUCGAGCACAAAAACCUAUGAUCUUGCAUGUGACAACUAAAAUCAGAAGCCAGAUAAAUAUUGUGCUCUUAAAAACUGAAUCUUCCACUAUCCGAGCUGCAACAAUACUCUUCCUUCACGAAAUCAAUCCACAUAAACUUUCAUUAUUUAUACUGAAAAAAGAGAGGAAUUUCACUCUUUUUGACUAUGGUAACAAUAAUAAAGAGGAAUUUGCACUCUUUAAGAACUGAAUUCCCCCCAAUAUUUGAGUUGCCAAAUUGUUUAACCUAAGUGGAGCCACAUAGAAUUAUAAGAAAAAAUACUCAUAAAAUAAAAUAAAAUAGGACUGAACUCAGACUGAGAAUUUUUUCGAGAACGACAUCUUUCCCAGUAAUUUGAGCUGCCAGAAAAUAAUCUUAUUUUACAUAAAUUACCCAUAUAAAAUAAUAACAACAAAUAGUCACCAAAAAUAUAAAAUAAUAAUAACCGAAACAAUGAAAUGAACAAAGAAGAAGAAAAAAACGGCAAUCUCACCGGCUACACGGGCAAAUCUUGCCGAAGGAAGGGCAUAUAAUCUGGAGAAUAAAUCUAUAGCUAUUAAAAAAAGGAUUGCAGUUAUGUGAGGAUGACAAUUGAAAAACCUUCACAUCAGCAGUGAAAUUGGGGAGAGAAUUAGAUAGAAUAGUGAGGACAUCAACCAUAAAUUUCAAUUGUGAAAUUCGGGAGUGAGGAAGAGAACUGGACGAAAUUUGGGCAAAAAUGAGAUAAAAGCUAACCUGAAAUGUGUAGAGAUUUC
rnacentral:lncRNA from 1 species